rnacentral:rRNA from 1 species
ACGGAAGGCAGCAGUGGGGAAUAUUGCACAAUGGGGGAAACCCUGAUGCAGCGACGCCGCGUGAGUGAAGAAGUAUUUCGGUAUGUAAAGCUCUAUCAGCAGGGAAGAAAAUGACGGUACCUGACUAAGAAGCCCCGGCUAACUACGUGCCAGCAGCCGCGGUAAUACGUAGGGGGCAAGCGUUAUCCGGAUUUACUGGGUGUAAAGGGAGCGCAGACGGCAAAGCAAGUCUGAAGUGAAAGCCCGGGGCUCAACCCCGGGACUGCUUUGGAAACUGUUUAGCUAGAGUACUGGAGAGGUAAGCGGAAUUCCUAGUGUAGCGGUGAAAUGCGUAGAUAUUAGGAAGAACACCAGUGGCGAAGGCGGCUUACUGGACUGUAACUGACGUUGAGGCUCGAAAGCGUGGGGAGCAAACAGGAUUAGAUACCCUGGUA